rnacentral:lncRNA from 1 species
UGCAAGAAGCACAGGAUCAACACAUAGACGCUAUAAAACUUGCCCAGAAGAUGAAAGAUGACUUACAAAGGGUUGAACAUGAAAAUUCUGAGUUAAAAGUUAAAGUUAAAGAGCAAGCUAAGAAAAUCGAAAAGCUUAGCAGAUGUCUGCAAAACUCACGUGAAAGACUGGAACAAAGUUCAAAGCUGACACAGUCAGGAGUUCGAGAAACUUUGGAGGUAUUAUGUAAGAACAACAUGUCCCCAAUGAAUCAGAUAGGAGUCGGAAUCCACAGUCUGCGGUCUGAACCCGCCCAAAGGAAAACUGUGCAAGACCCAAAUACAAGCAGCCUGAAAAGUUAUGAGCAGCAGUGCAUAGACGAAUUAAGGAUUAGCAAUGCAUUGCUAUAUGAACGAUACAAUACCUUUAAGAAGAUAUUUACUGACAGAUGGGAUACUUAGAGCGCAUGCCCUUUCAGUCUCUACAGGAAUAAGAGGCUAGAGGAAUCCCGCACCAAAGUUCACAUCACGGUGGAGCAGGACACAUCUCCUCUGAGCACAUCAGAAACAAGGUUUGAUCUUGAAAGCCCUUGUGUGGCAUGUUCUUGCCCUCACCAGUAUGUCUUCCCACGCGAGGCUGGGGUUCUCCCAGGAAACCCAAGGUCUUCCAACUACAGCUCGCAAAGAUGCCACAGGACGGUUGGUUGUACUUUCAUUUCCUCUGUUUUCAGAUUUGUUGCUGGAAUCCUUGCUUUUAAAUUUGGGUACCACCAAAGCACUUAUUUAACCUACAUGUUAAGCAAAUGGACAAUAUAGGUUGAUUAUGAUAGGAGACAAAAUGUUCAUUUUUCUUUUUCAAAAUGUGUCAAGAGUCAAGAGUCCUCAGAAAGUUACCCUGGUAAAUUAUGACCUAAGUGAGCUUGGACUACUUACACUAGAGUAUAAAUGCAACCAUACUUUAGUUUUCAAAAUUAAUCCUUAUUAGUGAAGUCUCUCAUUUUUAUCAAAUACAUUUCAGUAAUUUAAACAACAGGAAAAUGGAAAACAUAAAUGAAUUUGAAAUUUUUUUAAUAUAUAAACUUUAUUAUAGAAAACCUUCACACAGUGAAAUCAGAUCCAGUCUGCAAAUCUCAAUGAAAGAAAAAAUAUUUUUGUGCACUUAUCCACCACCCAACCCAAAAACUUUUAUGAUAUGAAUUAACUUUUCAAAGAAAAGCCAUUAAGGAGAUUAUAAAGAUAAUUGUUUUUCUUGUUUCAACUCUAUCAUGGAUUUUUCAUGUUUUAUUUUUUUUGUAGUGGAUAAGUGCAUAAAAAUCUAUUCAACAGAAAAUGGAAAAGUCCCACAUGAAGGUCCACAGUUGCAGAAUGGCUAUUUAAACUGUAUUCACUGAGGUAGACUUUGGGACGACUGCCUAAUUUCACUGCAUUUUUUACUUGCAAAUUCUUUAUAAUACAGUUUUAGUGAAACUAAAUAAGUAGGUGGCUGGAAAUGGCUCAGUAGUUAAGGGCACUGGCUGCUUUUC